UAAUUAUGCAGCUGUCGUGUUUAUUUCAAGGCUGGGAUGGCUUUCGUGUUCGAGAGAAGCUGUGAGAUGGAGUCCGCGAUAAUAACAGUUUAAUAUUCUGCAUUCUUGCACUGGCGGAUGAGUAAGGUCAGAUAAAAGAUGUGAGAUCGCGGUUGAACUGCGCCAGGGCCCUGUGUGGUGGAUGGGUGGUAACAGCUUGCCAAGGUGGCUACAGUGCGAUCACCCGGAGGGCCAGCCAUGGGAGCUGUGGAAAGGUGACACCGGGGAAACCCUGCCUGUUCAUGUGCUCUCUUGAAAUGUAUUCCUUGUUACUGUGUUGUAAUUAAUAAACGAAAGUUGACUGUG